UACGUAGGGUCCGAGCGUUUGUCCGGAAUUAUUGGGCGUAAAGGGCUCGUAGGCGGUUCGUCACGUCGGGAGUGAAAACUCGGAGCUUAACUCCGAGCCUGCUUCCGAUACGGGCAGACUAGAGGUAUGCAGGGGAGAACGGAAUUCCUGGUGUAGCGGUGAAAUGCGCAGAUAUCAGGAGGAACACCGGUGGCGAAGGCGGUCUCUGGGCAUGAUCUGACGCUGAGGAGCGAAAGUGUGGGGAGCGAACAGG
rnacentral:rRNA from 1 species